CUUCCACCAAUAAAUACAUGUAAAUCGUAAAUAUUCGAAACUAAAACUAAAAUAUCAAAAUUCUAAUGCAUUGUGUCUUAUAUUUUAAUCAAAAUAUUGAAUAGUAUUACAAUAGCAAUGAACAAUUAUGAUUUUUAUUUUUUAUUUAUAAAUAUCAGAAUUGAUAAUUGGAAUGCCAAGACGUGCCUCCAACUCCUCAUUUUGGAACCCAUCAAUCAUAUUAGCCCAGUCGGCCGAAUUCACCAUGUCAAAUUGCUUGCUCCCACCCCCACUCAGCAAACUUCUUGCAAAUUAGCACAAACCCACAAAUUUACACACACGGUAUUCACUAACUACUACAUAUUCCUAUAAUCACAUGAUAUUAAUUGACCUCUACAGCGAUCUUUGAUGGUGGAAGGUGUGGCAAUGCUCUAUUCGAUCUGGGUCAUUUGGCCUAUCUUUUCUUGGAGGGUCAUCCGGGAAAAGAGAUCUUUGUUUGUGAAAUGAGGUCCAAAGCUAACUCAAGAUCAUCAUCAUGAGCCGCGUCCACGAGUUGCUGAGAGAUCAAUUCCGAUUCAUAGCUGGAUCUCAAUCUCAUCGAAAAUACUCAAUUUUUGACAGUUUGAGUUGCUGAGAGAUCAAUUCAGCUUCGUAGCCGGAUCUCAAUCUCAUCGGAAAUACUCAUUUUUCAGCUAGAAAACUGUUGCCAAUAGUGGUAGUGGUGAAUACUGCCAUGAGAGAGAGAGAGAGAGAAGAUGUGGUGUGUGGAAGUCAGGGUUGCGUAGGUUGAAU
rnacentral:lncRNA from 1 species